CCUACGGGAGGCAGCAGUGGGGAAUAUUGGGCAAUGGAGGCAACUCUGACCCAGCAACGCCGCGUGAAUGAUGAAGGUCUUCGGAUUGUAAAGUUCUGUGAUGGGGGAUGAACACAAUGACGGUACCCCAAUAGCAAGCCACGGCUAACUACGUGCCAGCAGCCGCGGUAAUACGUAGGUGGCAAGCGUUAUCCGGAAUGACUGGGCGUAAAGGGUGCGUAGGUGGUUUAGUAAGUUGGCGGUGUAAUUCCGGGGCUCAACCUCGGCGCUACCGCCAAAACUAUUGAACUUGAGUGCAGGAGAGGUAAGCGGAAUGCCUAGUGUAGCGGUGAAAUGCGUAGAUAUUAGGAGGAACACCAGUGGCGAAGGCGGCUUACUGGACUGUAACUGACGUUGAGGCUCGAAAGCGUGGGGAGCAAACAGGAUUAGAUACCCCUGUAGUC
rnacentral:rRNA from 1 species